GAUGAACGCUGGCGGCGUGCCUAAUACAUGCAAGUCGAGCGAACAGACGAGGAGCUUGCUCCUCUGACGUUAGCGGCGGACGGGUGAGUAACACGUGGAUAACCUACCUAUAAGACUGGGAUAACUUCGGGAAACCGGAGCUAAUACCGGAUAAUAUAUUGAACCGCAUGGUUCAAUAGUGAAAGACGGUUUUGCUGUCACUUAUAGCUGGAUCCGCGCCGCAUUAGCUAGUUGGUAAGGUAACGGCUUACCAAGGCAACGAUGCGUAGCCGACCGGAGAGGGGGAUCGGCCACACGGGAACUGAGACACGGUCCAGACUCCUACGAGAGGCAGCAGUAGGGAAUCUUCCGCAAUGGGCGAAAGCCUGACGGAGCAACGCCGCGUGAGUGAUGAAGGUCUUCGGAUCGUAAAACUCUGUUAUGAGGGAAGAACAAAUGUGUAAGUAACUAUGCACGUCUUGACGGUACCUAAUCAGAAAGCCACGGCUAACUACGUG
rnacentral:rRNA from 1 species